rnacentral:rRNA from 1 species
UACGAGGGGGGCAAGCGUUGUUCGGAAUUAUUGGGCGUAAAGGGCGCGUAGGCGGCGCGGUAAGUCACCUGUGAAACCUCUAGGCUCAACCUAGAGCCUGCAGGCGAAACUGCCGUGCUUGAGGGUGGGAGAGGUGCGUGGAAUUCCCGGUGUAGCGGUGAAAUGCGUAGAUAUCGGGAGGAACCCCUGUGGCGAAAGCGGCGCACUGGACCACAUCUGACGCUGAGGCGCGAAAGCUAGGGGAGCAAACAGG